rnacentral:rRNA from 1 species
AUUGAACGCUGGCGGCAGGCCUAACACAUGCAAGUCGAGCGAGCGGCGGACGGGUGAGUAAUGUAUGGGGACUGCCCGAUAGAGGGGGAUAACUACUGGCAACGGUGGCUAAUACCGCAUACUAUCGGAUAACCCAUAUGGGAUUAGCUAGUAGGUGGGGUAAAGGCUAACCUGGGCGACGAUCUCUAGCUGGUCUGAGAGGGUGAUCAGCCACACGUGAACUGAGAAACGGCCCAGCCUCCUACGGAGGCAGCAGUGGGGAAUAUUGCAAAAUGGGCGAAAGCCUGAUGCAGCCAUGCGGCGUGUAGGAAGAAGGCCUUAGGGUGGUAAAGUACUUUCAGCGGGGAGGCGUUACCCGCAGAGGAAGCACCGGCUAACUCCGUGCCAGCAGCCGCGGUAAUAC